CAUGCCGCGUGUGUGAAGAAGGUCUUCGGAUUGUAAAGCACUUUAAGUUGGGAGGAAGGGCAGUAAGCGAAUACCUUGCUGUUUUGACGUUACCGACAGAAUAAGCACCGGCUAACUCUGUGCCAGCACCCUCGGUGACUGAGCGGGCUGGCAAGGCGCAUA
rnacentral:rRNA from 1 species